ACUAAUCUUUUUCCCUACCACCACUAAUAUUUUCUUUUCCCUACCACUAACUUAUUUUUAUCUAAUAGACAUGAGUGGAAGUGUGAUGAGUGAAGAUAGGAUUAGUGUGCUAAGGUGGUAGGGAACCAAGCUUUAAUCAUGAAUAAUGCUUUGUCCUUAAUCAUUCUUCCAUUGCAAGACAAAGCUCAUCACUUCACUCCCUCACACUUCAACUCUCAGUCACCUCCAAAAAUCCCUCUCUUCCAAUUUUGCUCCAAAAGAUCGCCAUAGAUUAAUCACCAAAGCUUCCAAGUUCACUUCAAGAUCAAAUCCUCCACCAAAUCAACAUAAACACCUUUCAAUUUUUGAAGAUUUCAAGAGGACCGUGGGGUUUGGUUUGAAGAGUGAGAAAGGAAAACUUUGAUCUUUGUUUAAUCUUGGGGUCCGGGCGACAGGAAAUGAAGCCGAAGAAGAAGCGACUCCACGCUAGCUUAAGAACGUUUGAGGUUGAGCAGGCGAUGGAAUGGAUCAGUGUUGAGCGGAUUUCUCUUUUGAUGUUUAUGUAAUGAAACCUUGAGUAUGCAUCUCCAUAUGCAUAACUCACACGUUUUUCCGCUGCAAACACUCUGACUUAUUUAUCAUUUCUACUUGAACUUAUUACUACUUCAUUUUAAUUAACUUUCAUUUGGGGUCUAGUCGUUAUGGCAGGCUCGUUUGUUAAUUACCCAAGUGGUUAUAUAUAUAUAUAUACCACUAGUUUGUUGUUAUUAAUGAUGGUUAUUUAGUAGA